CCGGGGGAAAAAAAAUCCCACUUUUUUUUUUUUUUUUUUUGUUGUUGUUGACACUAUAUUGACAUAAAUUGCACAUACACACAUUAGAAUAAUCAUAUUAAACUGGUAUUCUAUAAAAUGAAUCCUCAUUUCCUUUUUUGUAAAGUGCGAAUAUCCUUUCCACAGCAAUUUUGGUGUUCAACAAUGUAUAUAUCCAUUCAUUAAACAUAAAUUCAUAUAUAAGUGCAAUUUUAUACGUUU
rnacentral:lncRNA from 1 species